UAGUGGCGGACGGGUGAGUAACACGUGGGAACGUGCCUUUAGGUUCGGAAUAACUCAGGGAAACUUGAGCUAAUACCGGAUGUGCCCUUCGGGGGAAAGAUUUAUCGCCUUUAGAGCGGCCCGCGUCUGAUUAGCUAGUUGGUGAGGUAAAGGCUCACCAAGGCGACGAUCAGUAGCUGGUCUGAGAGGAUGAUCAGCCACAUUGGGACUGAGACACGGCCCAAACUCCUACGGGAGGCAGCAGUGGGGAAUCUUGCGCAAUGGGCGAAAGCCUGACGCAGCCAUGCCGCGUGAAUGAUGAAGGUCUUAGGAUUGUAAAAUUCUUUCACCGGGGACGAUAAUGACGGUACCCGGAGAAGAAGCCCCGGCUAACUUCGUGCCAGCAGCCGCGGUAAUACGAAGGGGGCUAGCGUUGCUCGGAAUUACUGGGCGUAAAGGGAGCGUAGGCGGACAUUUAAGUCAGGGGUGAAAUCCCGGGGCUCAACCUCGGAAUUGCCUUUGAUACUGGGUGUCUUGAGUAUGAGAGAGGUGUGUGGAACUCCGAGUGUAGAGGUGAAAUUCGUAGAUAUUCGGAAGAACACCAGUGGCGAAGGCGACACACUGGCUCAUUACUGACGCUGAGGCUCGAAAGCGUGGGGAGCAAACAGGAUUAGAU
rnacentral:rRNA from 1 species